CAAAAGUGAAGUGAAAGUGAAGUGGCCCACCAGGAAUCCGCCCGAAUCUCCCGAUUACCCACCCCGACCCUGGAGCUAGCAAUGCGGGCAGCCGAGCUGAAGUAAAUGCAGCCAUCACAAGUUAGUGACACCAAUGGAAAAAUCCUCACUUUGGUUUGCUUGGGAGGCAGUUCUCCGUCUGCAGAACUGUGUGAUAGUGAAUGUGACUUGAAUAAAAUAAAAUAAAUGAUAAAUGAUGGAGUUGAUGCUGAUUCAGGAAGACAGAGACCGUGGAUGUCUUAAAGCUGCUGUCGACGUAAGAGCGGGGCUGGAUCGAUUGAGGGGCUCGUCCACUGUGCGCCCACCUACACCUGAAACCAUUCACCGAUUGCAUGGACCAGCUGUCAAUCAUGAUGCAGGCUUCAGGCACUUCCACACUGGCUUCAUUAUCUGGAUCCAGUGACUACGUCCAUUUAUAUCUAUAUAAAGUAUUUAACUCUGA